CCCCAUAAAUAAUGACCACUCCCUUACUUAAAAGAGGAAAGAUCUAUUGAAAUAGCUGUGUACUGUAUCUGGCAUCAUAUACAGUAAUGUGCGUAUUUGUAUAGUCCCAGCAAGUUAACGCUCCAUAGAGCGUCUUGUUUGCCUUAAAAUUGUUUUGUUUACGAUUGUAAGUUUAGGCGGGAAAUUUUCCGUGUAGAAACACGCUUCUCGACC